rnacentral:rRNA from 1 species
CCUACGGGCGGCUGCAGUGAGGAAUAUAGGUCAAUGGACGAGAGUCUGAACCAGCCAAGUAGCGUGAAGGAUGACUGCCCUAUGGGUUGUAAACUUCUUUUAUAUGGGAAUAAAAUGUUCCACGUGUGGGAUUUUGUAUGUACCAUAUGAAUAAGGAUCGGCUAACUCCGUGCCAGCAGCCGCGGUAAUACGGAGGAUCCGAGCGUUAUCCGGAUUUAUUGGGUUUAAAGGGAGCGUAGGUGGAUUGUUAAGUCAGUUGUGAAAGUUUGCGGCUCAACCGUAAAAUUGCAGUUGAAACUGGCAGUCUUGAGUACAGUAGAGGUGGGCGGAAUUCGUGGUGUAGCGGUGAAAUGCUUAGAUAUCACGAAGAACUCCGAUUGCGAAGGCAGUUCACUGGACUGCAACUGACACUGAGGCUCGAAAGUGUGGGUAUCAAACAGGAUUAGAUACCCGAGUAGUC